AUUACCAAUUUUUGGGGGGGUUGGGCUUUUUUAAUCACAUAGACUUCAGUGGAAGCAAGCUUGUGGCCUAAACUUCAUACAGCACUGUGCAUGAGACUGGGACUGGAAUGCUUACUGCAUGCCUGCACUACAGAGAAGCGGUCAGUGCUUACGGAGUAAGAUUUGGUUCCACACCCUGCCAGUUUGGUCUUACAUCUCCAAGAUUUCAUAGACAUGGAUCCUUU
ensembl:lncRNA